AACUCCAAGCGGUGGAUCACUCGGCUCAUGGGUCGAUGAAGAACGCAGCAAACUGUGCGUCAUCGUGUGUACAUCGACAUUUUGAACGCAUAUCGUUAUGUUACUUUAAUUAAUUUUAUAGUGCUGCUUGGACUACAUAUGGUUGAGGGUUG
rnacentral:rRNA from 1 species